CACGCCCAGAAGCUUAGCUCUGAUUGGGUCUCUGUCUUGUUUCUCCACUUCCGGGCUUCGAGUAGUUGCACUUUAGAGUGGGUUUGAGACGUUCUGUAAACUUUGGCACAAGUGCACCGGGCCAGCAGAGUUCCGAAGCUCCCACCCGAGUGACAUGUGACAGACUGGACUACUCCAAAGAUGGACCAGAAGUCUUGUCAGUGUUCCUGGGAUCUGUGGGACAGGGAAUGAAUCCACGAGUGUGAGACGGAAGUACACAGCCCAACCAGCCCCGUACCCCCUGGCCAGUUCAGUGUUUCACCUGAUUUGGCAGUCAACAUAAGGAUAAUCAGAGUGGUCUUGGUCUUGCCAGGCUGUAUCAUACGCCAGGGACCACAGCCUGUACACACAAAUGGCUGGGCAUGCCCAAGACAACCAUGGCCCUAGGUCUGUGGCCCAUGGUGGGUCCACUACUGUCCACACUGCAGUUUGGGCAUCCCACCUAAUCCACAGGAAUCAGGUCAAGCCCCUCCCAGCGCCAAGGGCAGCCAGGGAAGCAGGCUGAUACCUGACGCAGCCCCACACCACACUGAGCUGUUGUGGAGUCUAGCAGGGGUUGGCAUGGACCCUUCGGCAAGCUGACUCUAACAUACACUGCCCACUUGGGGCGCACAAAUACAAAUAAAAAGACUUCUUUGUCCUCA